GAUUAAGUUAUUAAGGGCGCACGGUGGAUGCCUUGGCACUAGAAGCCGAUGAAGGACGUUACUAACGACGAUAUGCUUUGGGGAGCUGUAAGUAAGCUUUGAUCCAGAGAUUUCCGAAUGGGGAAACCCAGCAUGAGUUAUGUCAUGUUAUCGAUAUGUGAAUACAUAGCAUAUCAGAAGGCACACCCGGAGAACUGAAACAUCUUAGUACCCGGAGGAAGAGAAAGAAAAUUCGAUUCCCUUAGUAGCGGCGAGCGAAACGGGAAGAGCCCAAACCAACAAGCUUGCUUGUUGGGGUUGUAGGACACUCUAUACGGAGUUACAAAGGACGACAUUAGACGAAUCAUCUGGAAAGAUGAAUCAAAGAAGGUAAUAAUCCUGUAGUCGAAAAUGUUGUCUCUCUUGAGUGGAUCCUGAGUACGACGGAGCACGUGAAAUUCCGUCGGAAUCUGGGAGGACCAUCUCCUAAGGCUAAAUACUCUCUAGUGACCGAUAGUGAACCAGUACCGUGAGGGAAAGGUGAAAAGCACCCCGGAAGGGGAGUGAAAUAGAACCUGAAACCGUGUGCUUACAAGUAGUCAGAGCCCGUUAAUGGGUGAUGGCGUGCCUUUUGUAGAAUGAACCGGCGAGUUACGAUUUGAUGCAAGGUUAAGCAGUAAAUGUGGAGCCGUAGCGAAAGCGAGUCUGAAUAGGGCGUUUAGUAUUUGGUCGUAGACCCGAAACCAGGUGAUCUACCCUUGGUCAGGUUGAAGUUCAGGUAACACUGAAUGGAGGACCGAACCGACUUACGUUGAAAAGUGAGCGGAUGAACUGAGGGUAGCGGAGAAAUUCCAAUCGAACCUGGAGAUAGCUGGUUCUCUCCGAAAUAGCUUUAGGGCUAGCCUCAAGUGAUGAUUAUUGGAGGUAGAGCACUGUUUGGACGAGGGGCCCCUCUCGGGUUACCGAAUUCAGACAAACUCCGAAUGCCAAUUAAUUUAACUUGGGAGUCAGAACAUGGGUGAUAAGGUCCGUGUUCGAAAGGGAAACAGCCCAGACCACCAGCUAAGGUCCCAAAAUAUAUGUUAAGUGGAAAAGGAUGUGGCGUUGCCCAGACAACUAGGAUGUUGGCUUAGAAGCAGCCAUCAUUUAAAGAGUGCGUAAUAGCUCACUAGUCGAGUGACACUGCGCCGAAAAUGUACCGGGGCUAAACAUAUUACCGAAGCUGUGGAUUGUCCUUUGGACAAUGGUAGGAGAGCGUUCUAAGGGCGUUGAAGCAUGAUCGUAAGGACAUGUGGAGCGCUUAGAAGUGAGAAUGCCGGUGUGAGUAGCGAAAGACGGGUGAGAAUCCCGUCCACCGAUUGACUAAGGUUUCCAGAGGAAGGCUCGUCCGCUCUGGGUUAGUCGGGUCCUAAGCUGAGGCCGACAGGCGUAGGCGAUGGAUAACAGGUUGAUAUUCCUGUACCACCUAUAAUCGUUUUAAUCGAUGGGGGGACGCAGUAGGAUAGGCGAAGCGUGCGAUUGGAUUGCACGUCUAAGCAGUAAGGCUGAGUAUUAGGCAAAUCCGGUACUCGUUAAGGCUGAGCUGUGAUGGGGAGAAGACAUUGUGUCUUCGAGUCGUUGAUUUCACACUGCCGAGAAAAGCCUCUAGAUAGAAAAUAGGUGCCCGUACCGCAAACCGACACAGGUAGUCAAGAUGAGAAUUCUAAGGUGAGCGAGCGAACUCUCGUUAAGGAACUCGGCAAAAUGACCCCGUAACUUCGGGAGAAGGGGUGCUCUUUAGGGUUAACGCCCAGAAGAGCCGCAGUGAAUAGGCCCAAGCGACUGUUUAUCAAAAACACAGGUCUCUGCUAAACCGUAAGGUGAUGUAUAGGGGCUGACGCCUGCCCGGUGCUGGAAGGUUAAGAGGAGUGGUUAGCUUCUGCGAAGCUACGAAUCGAAGCCCCAGUAAACGGCGGCCGUAACUAUAACGGUCCUAAGGUAGCGAAAUUCCUUGUCGGGUAAGUUCCGACCCGCACGAAAGGCGUAACGAUUUGGGCACUGUCUCAACGAGAGACUCGGUGAAAUCAUAGUACCUGUGAAGAUGCAGGUUACCCGCGACAGGACGGAAAGACCCCGUGGAGCUUUACUGUAGCCUGAUAUUGAAAUUCGGCACAGCUUGUACAGGAUAGGUAGGAGCCUUUGAAACGUGAGCGCUAGCUUACGUGGAGGCGCUGGUGGGAUACUACCCUAGCUGUGUUGGCUUUCUAACCCGCACCACUUAUCGUGGUGGGAGACAGUGUCAGGCGGGCAGUUUGACUGGGGCGGUCGCCUCCUAAAAGGUAACGGAGGCGCUCAAAGGUUCCCUCAGAAUGGUUGGAAAUCAUUCAUAGAGUGUAAAGGCAUAAGGGAGCUUGACUGCGAGACCUACAAGUCGAGCAGGGUCGAAAGACGGACUUAGUGAUCCGGUGGUUCCGCAUGGAAGGGCCAUCGCUCAACGGAUAAAAGCUACCCCGGGGAUAACAGGCUUAUCUCCCCCAAGAGUUCACAUCGACGGGGAGGUUUGGCACCUCGAUGUCGGCUCAUCGCAUCCUGGGGCUGUAGUCGGUCCCAAGGGUUGGGCUGUUCGCCCAUUAAAGCGGUACGCGAGCUGGGUUCAGAACGUCGUGAGACAGUUCGGUCCCUAUCCGUCGUGGGCGUAGGAAAUUUGAGAGGAGCUGUCCUUAGUACGAGAGGACCGGGAUGGACAUACCUCUGGUGUACCAGUUGUCGUGCCAACGGCAUAGCUGGGUAGCUAUGUGUGGACGGGAUAAGUGCUGAAAGCAUCUAAGCAUGAAGCCCCCCUCAAGAUGAGAUUUCCCAACUUCGGUUAUAAGAUC
rnacentral:rRNA from 15 species